CCUACGGGAGGCAGCAGUGGGGAAUUUUGGACAAUGGGCGCAAGCCUGAUCCAGCCAUGCCGCGUGUCUGAAGAAGGCCUUCGGGUUGUAAAGGACUUUUGUUAGGGAGCAAGUCCUGCAGGUUAAGAGCCAGUAGGGAUGAGAGUACCUAA
rnacentral:rRNA from 1 species